rnacentral:lncRNA from 1 species
GGUAGGGACGGUAGGGAUGGUAUGGAUAGUAGGGAUUGUAGGGAUGGUAUGGAUAGUAGGGAUGGUAUGGAUAGUUGGGAUGGUAGGGAUGGUAGGGAUGUUAGGGAUGUUUGAUGGUCGGGAUGGUAGGGAUGGUAGGGAUGGUAGAGAUUGUAGUGAUUUAUGAUAGGAGGUAUGGUAGGGAUGGUAGUGAUGUUAUGGAAUGUAAGGAUGGUAGGGAUGGUAGGGAUGGUAGGGAAGGUAUGGACAGUAGGGAUGGUAUGGAUGGUAGGGGUUCUAGUGAUGGUAGAGCUUGUAGUGAUGGUAGUGAUGGUAGGGAUGGUAGGAAUGGUAGGGAUGGUAGUGAUGGUAGGGAUGGUAGUGAUGGUAGGGAUGGUAGGGAUGGUAGGAAUGGUAGUGAUGGUAGGGGUGGUAGUGAUGGUAGGGAUGGUAGUGAUGGUAGGGCUGGUAGGAAUGGUAGGGAUGGUAGUGAUGGUAGUGAUAGUAGGGAUGGUAGUAAUUGUAG